rnacentral:rRNA from 1 species
GGGUCAGUAGGUUGGUCGUGCCACCGGUACGUACUGGUCUCACUGAUUCCUCCUUCCUGAAGAACCGUAAUGCCAUUAAUUUGGUGUUGCGGGGAAACAGGACUGUUACUUCGAAAAAAUUAGAGUGUUUAAAGCAAGCUAACGCUUGAAUACAUUAGCAUAGAAUAAUGAAAUAGGACGAUCGAUCCUAUUUUGUUGGUUUCUAGGAUUGACGUA